ACGGGGAUUUUGUCGUACCAAAGAGUAAAUUGCAAGUUUUUUUCGGCACAACUUGGUUCCUCUACUCGUCGCAAGAUGGCGUUGGCAUUAUUAAAAUAAACAAGAAUGACGUGCAUUUGCGUCGGUGUAGACCCAUCAUGAAAACGUAGAUAUGAUAAUUUUAUAUUUAAAAAAAAGCUAACGUGACAUAAAUUUGACAAAUGUCUAAAAGAAAUAUAGUAUCUUCUGUGUAAUAUCUUCUUCCGUGCACGUGUGAUUUAUUGUUUAGUCAAUUUAAAUAUCACUCUAAGUAAGAACUGUUAGACAAAACACUCGUAGCAUAAUUGUAUAUUUCAAUAUAUCACAGCCAUACAUUUUUAUAUUCUUUCAGGUGAUUCAGCUUACCCACAGAGGCAAACACUACUGAUGGAUGCACUGACUUUUGGAUGCACCUGUAGGAUCUCCAGAAGCUCGUUAUACCGCUUUACAAGUUCGAGCCCGCAACUGUAUAGAGCGGUGUUUUGGGCGACUAAAAAUCAGUUGGUAGUGUUUGUCGUCAAUGGAGAAACUGCACUACAAGCCAGCAGCGGCAGCUAAGAUCGUUAAAACGUGUUGUGUGCUUGACAAUAUAGCUAACAAAGCGAAUUGUGAACUGCCUCCGCUGAACCGACACGAAGAACAGGAGCAGCAGCAGGAGCAGAGAUUAGCGGCGGAGUUUGACGCCCGUCAGCAGAAUGCUGAUAUUUAUUUGGCAAUGGCUCCUGACAGGUGUUGGCUAAACAAAGAGCUGCAGCUGGGUCGCGCUGCUCGUCAAGCGCUUGUCCGGCAGUUAGCAAAUUAUUGAUUCUUCAUCGGACCAAGGCCGAUUUGUCCAGGACCAAUUUUCGGAUCUCCUGGGCUUCCUGGAACAAGGACUAGUGAUUGUUUCGAGGAGCUGUCAUGGUGUUGGCUCUUGAUAUUUUAUCGUGAAACGCAGAUUUAAUGAUGAAGGCGCGUCGGAACCCAAACGUCAAGAAUCGCCGACGUUCACAGAAGCAGCUACAAUGAGCGGAGAAUCUGAGAGCCAGGAAUGCGGAGCACCUUGCUACUACUAAAAUGGAGAACCCGGACCUGUUAGCGACAUGGAACUGACCAGGACCGUCGUGGGCUCCUCAUGUGCCACCCCG